UGACGGGUCUACUGCAAGUGAACCUGGCUCUCCAGAUAACAGGUGUCUCAGGAACCUCAUGGGCAAGAGACGGAAAACCGGCGCAGAUUCAUGAGACCAUAAGGCAGAUCCAGAAUAAAGAGAGUCGCACAUGAAACGUCCACCAGCUUUCCAUCUCCAAAUGUUAAUGUGGCUUCCGUGGACGGUAACAUGUAGAAAACCCCCUUCUGGUUCUGCUUUAUGGCCUCUUGAAUUUGCGCCGCCUUUAGGGUCUCUUUUUUACACUCGUAGAGCAGGUAAAUUCUCAUUUUUUACUAGACUGAAGGUUAGUAUUCUUGUUUUCGUAUCUAGACUUCAAGGUGUAUUAUUGUGUAGAUGUUAGAAGGUUUUUAUUAUAGAAUAGACCCUCACGAGAGUCUACAUCCUUAGGAGCAUGGAAAUUAGAUAUUCAUGCUCCUAGGAAUGUAGACUUGUAUCUGAUGGUCAUCAGAUUGAAGACUAACUGUGAAACCUUCCAGCAAGGAAGAUUUCACAGUCUGACGUUAUGCUCGAAGCCGGAGCUACUCUAAUCAAUGACCUUAAGUCGGAACUACGUAGCAUCUAAGUCAAAUCCAAAUACAUUUAGAUUCAUAACGUAUCUUUCAUAAAUUAAUCUUAAAUUUGAAUCGCAGAACCUUAGAUUGGUAGUUCAGAGAGGUGAGAGGAUAUAGAGCAUGUUGCCUGCUAGAGUAGAGUUGUACAGAAAAAGUCGACCAGCUUUUGCAAUUCCAAAUACUAACCCGGCUUCUCGGAACACGGACAUGUGGGUGGUCCAUUACCUGGUCUGGUCGAGUUCCUAUUGAAUCAGCGCCGCCUUUCCGUCUGUUGCCCACGAAGCUCCUGAGAUAUUUAUUUCCUGGAGAUUCAAGUUCACUUGGAGUAGCCCCAUCA